rnacentral:rRNA from 1 species
AGAGUUUGAUCCUGGCUCAGGACGAACGCUGGCGGCGCGCCUAACACAUGCAAGUCGAACGGAGCUUAAAGAGCUUGCUUUUUAAGCUUAGUGGCGAACGGGUGAGUAACGCGUGAGUAACCUGCCCUGGAGUGGGGGACAACAGUUGGAAACGACUGCUAAUACCGCAUAAGCCCACGGCCCGGCAUCGGGCUGCGGGAAAAGGAUUUAUUCGCUUCAGGAUGGACUCGCGUCCAAUUAGCUAGUUGGUGAGGUAACGGCCCACCAAGGCGACGAUUGGUAGCCGGACUGAGAGGUUGAACGGCCACAUUGGGACUGAGACACGGCCCAGACUCCUACGGGAGGCAGCAGUGGGGGAUAUUGCACAAUGGGGGAAACCCUGAUGCAGCGACGCCGCGUGGAGGAAGAAGGUUUUCGGAUUGUAAACUCCUGUCGUUAGGGACGAUAAUGACGGUACCUAACAAGAAAGCACCGGCUAACUACGUGCCAGCAGCCGCGGUAAAACGUAGGGUGCAAGCGUUGUCCGGAAUUACUGGGUGUAAAGGGAGCGCAGGCGGACCGGCAAGUUGGAAGUGAAAACUAUGGGCUCAACCCAUAAAUUGCUUUCAAAACUGCUGGCCUUGAGUAGUGCAGAGGUAGGUGGAAUUCCCGGUGUAGCGGUGGAAUGCGUAGAUAUCGGGAGGAACACCAGUGGCGAAGGCGACCUACUGGGCACCAACUGACGCUGAGGCUCGAAAGCAUGGGUAGCAAACAGGAUUAGAUACCCUGGUAGUCCAUGCCGUAAACGAUGAUUACUAGGUGUUGGAGGAUUGACCCCUUCAGUGCCGCAGUUAACACAAUAAGUAAUCCACCUGGGGAGUACGACCGCAAGGUUGAAACUCAAAGGAAUUGACGGGGGCCCGCACAAGCAGUGGAGUAU